rnacentral:rRNA from 1 species
GAUGAACGCUGGCGGCGUGCCUAAUACAUGCAAGUCGAGCGAAUAGAUGAGGAGCUUGCUCCUCUGACGUUAGCGGCGGACGGGUGAGUAACACGUGGAUAACCUACCUAUAAGACUGGGAUAACUUCGGGAAACCGGAGCUAAUACCGGAUAAUAUAUUGAACCGCAUGGUUCAAUAGUGAAAGACGGUUUUGCUGUCACUUAUAGAUGGAUCCGCGCCGCAUUAGCUAGUUGGUAAGGUAACGGCUUACCAAGGCGACGAUGCGUAGCCGACCUGAGAGGGUGAUCGGCCACACUGGAACUGAGACACGGUCCAGACUCCUACGGGAGGCAGCAGUAGGGAAUCUUCCGCAAUGGGCGAAAGCCUGACGGAGCAACGCCGCGUGAGUGAUGAAGGUCUUCGGAUCGUAAAACUCUGUUAUUAGGGAAGAACAAAUGUGUAAGUAACUAUGCACGUCUUGACGGUACCUAAUCAGAAAGCCACGGCUAACUACGUG